UACAGAGGUCUCAAGCGUUGUUCGGAUUCAUUGGGCGUAAAGGGUGCGUAGGCGGCGCGGUAAGUCGGGUGUGAAAUCUCGGAGCUUAACUCCGAAACUGCAUUCGAUACUGCGGUGCUUGAGGACUGGAGAGGAGACUGGAAUUCCUGGUGUAGCGGUGGAAUGCGCAGAUAUCAGGAGGAACACCGGUGGCGAAGGCGGGUCUCUGGGCAGUAACUGACGCUGAGGAGCGAAAGCGUGGGGAGCGAACAGG
rnacentral:rRNA from 1 species